UACCUGGUUGAUCCUGCCAGUAGUCAUAUGCUUGUCUCAAAGAUUAAGCCAUGCAAGUCUAAGUACGAGCUCUCGUACAGUGAAACUGCGAAUGGCUCAUUAAAUCAGUUAUGGUUCAUUUGAUCGUACAGUUUACUUGGAUAACUGUGGUAAUUCUAGAGCUAAUACAUGCGAGAAGCGCCGACCUCGCGGGAGGCGUGCAUUUAUCAGACCAAAAACCGGCCGCGUCUUCGGGCGCGUUCGCCUUGGUGACUCUGGAUAACUUUGCGGAUCGCACGGUCUAGCACCGGCGACGGAUCAUUCAAGUGUCUGCCCUAUCAACUUUCGUCGGUACGGUAUUUGCCUACCGAGGUUCUUACGGGUGACGGGGAAGCAGGGUUCGAUUCCGGAGAGGGAGCCUGAG
rnacentral:ncRNA from 1 species